CAUGCAAGUCGAGGGGCAGCAUGGUCUUAGCUUGCUAAGGCCGAUGGCGACCGGCGCACGGGUGAGUAACACGUAUCCAACCUGCCGUCUACUCUUGGACAGCCUUCUGAAAGGAAGAUUAAUACAAGAUGGCAUCAUGAGUCCGCAUGUUCACAUGAUUAAAGGUAUUCCGGUAGACGAUGGGGAUGCGUUCCAUUAGAUAGUAGGCGGGGUAACGGCCCACCUAGUCUUCGAUGGAUAGGGGUUCUGAGAGGAAGGUCCCCCACAUUGGAACUGAGACACGGUCCAAACUCCUACGGGAGGCAGCAGUGAGGAAUAUUGGUCAAUGGGCGAGAGCCUGAACCAGCCAAGUAGCGUGAAGGAUGACUGCCCUAUGGGUUGUAAACUUCUUUUAUAAAGGAAUAAAGUCGGGUAUGGAUACCCGUUUGCAUGUACUUUAUGAAUAAGGAUCGGCUAACUCCGUGCCAGCAGCCGCGGUAAUACGGAGGAUCCGAGCGUUAUCCGGAUUUAUUGGGUUUAAAGGGAGCGUAGAUGGAUGUUUAAGUCAGUUGUGAAAGUUUGCGGCUCAACCGUAAAAUUGCAGUUGAUACUGGAUAUCUUGAGUGCAGUUGAGGCAGGCGGAAUUCGUGGUGUAGCGGUGAAAUGCUUAGAUAUCACGAAGAACUCCAAUUGCGAAGGCAGCCUGCUAAGCUGCAACUGACAUUGAGGCUCGAAAGUGUGGGUAUCAAACAGGAUUAGAUACCCUGGUAGUCCACACGGUAAACGAUGAAUACUCGCUGUUUGCGAUAUACUGCAAGCGGCCAAGCGAA
rnacentral:rRNA from 1 species